GAUGAACGCUGGCGGCGUGCCUAAUACAUGCGAGUCGAGCGAACAGACGAGGAGCUUGCUCCUCUGACGUUAGCGGCGGACGGGUGAGUAACACGUGGAUAACCUACCUAUAAGACUGGGAUAACUUCGGGAAACCGGAGCUAAUACCGGAUAAUAUAUUGAACCGCAUGGUUCAAUAGUGAAAGACGGUUUUGCUGUCACUUAUAGAUGGAUCCGCGCCGCAUUAGCUAGUUGGUAAGGUAACGGCUUACCAAGGCAACGAUGCGUAGCCGACCUGAGAGGGUGAUCGGCCACACUGGAACUGAGACACGGUCCAGACUCCUACGGGAGGCAGCAGUAGGGAAUCUUCCGCAAUGGGCGAAAACUUGACGGAGCAACGCCGCGUGAGUGAUGAAGGUCUUCGGAUCGUAAAACUCUGUUAUUAGGGAAGAACAAAUGUGUAAGUAACUAUGCACGUCUUGACGGUACCUAAUCAGAAAGCCACGGCUAACUACGUG
rnacentral:rRNA from 1 species